GUCUUGUUGGGUGGGACGUUGAUUCGACUUAUGUUGAAUGAGAGUAGAGGAAAUAGGUGAGCCAAACACAAAUUAUUUCAUGCAUUGAAGGUCAUAUUUUUUUAUUUUUUCGCUUUUUGAGUAAAAAUCACAUGUCAUUGCACAUUUUAAGACGCAUGUUUAUUUUAUUAUUAUUUCUUCUUCUCUUGAUUUCACUUUCUGUUUUUAAUUUCAUUUUAAAUUGUUACUUUUCA